AGCCUCUUGGCAUUUACUCUGAGUUUUUUCUUCACACCAUUUGUACAGAAAGAGGAAGUCAAGUAAGCAUGUCCCAUAUAUACCUUAACUUAGACCUUAAGUCUAGUUUAUAUGGUGAAUAGGAGAACAUGA